UACGUAGGGUGCGAGCGUUAAUCGGAAUUACUGGGCGUAAAGUGUGCGCAGGCGGCGUUGCAAGUCGAGUGUGAAAUCCCCGGGCUUAACCUGGGAACUGCGCUUGUAACUGGCAAGCUAGAGUGUGGCAGAGGGGGGUGGAAUUCCACGUGUAGCAGUGAAAUGCGUAGAGAUGUGGAGGAACACCGAUGGCGAAGGCAGCCCCCUGGGUCGAAGAUUGGACGCUCAUGCACGAAAGCGUGGGGAG
rnacentral:rRNA from 1 species